rnacentral:tRNA from 2 species
GGCCAGGUAGCUCAGUUGGUAGAGCACACGAUUGAAAAUCGUGGUGUCGGGGGUUCAAUUCCCUCCCUGGCCACCA